UCCACGCCGUAAACGAUGAGUGCUAAGUGUUGGAGGGUUUCCGCCCUUCAGUGCUGCAGCAAACGCAUUAAGCACUCCGCCUGGGGAGUACGACCGCAAGGUUGAAACUCAAAGGAAUUGACGGGGGCCCGCACAAGCGGUGGAGCAUGUGGUUUAAUUCGAAGCAACGCGAAGAACCUUACCAGGUCUUGACAUCCUUUGACCACUCUAGAGAUAGAGCUUUCCCUUCGGGGACAAAGUGACAGGUGGUGCAUGGUUGUCGUCAGCUCGUGUC
rnacentral:rRNA from 1 species